rnacentral:rRNA from 1 species
UGCCUAAUCAUGCAAGUCGAACGAGAGGAGGGAAAGCUUGCUUUUCUGAAUCUAGUGGCGAACGGGUGAGUAACACGUAGGUAACCUGCCCAUGUGCUCGGGAUAACUUCUGGAAACGGAUGCUAAAACCGGAUAGGUAGCAGACAAGCAUUUGACUGCUAUUAAAGUGGCUAAGGCCAUGAACAUGGAUGGACCUGCGGUGCAUUAGCUAGUUGGUGAGGUAACGGCCCACCAAGGCGACGAUGCAUAGCCGGCCUGAGAGGGCGGACGGCCACAUUGGGACUGAGACACGGCCCAAACUCCUACGGGAGGCAGCAGUAGGGAAUUUUCGUCAAUGGGGGGAACCCUGAACGAGCAAUGCCGCGUGAGUGAGGAAGGUCUUCGGAUCGUAAAGCUCUGUUGUAAGAGAAAAACGACAUUCAUAGGGAAUGAUGAGUGAGUGAUGGUAUCUUACCAGAAAGUCACGGCUAACUACGUGCCAGCAGCCGCGGUAAU